rnacentral:misc_RNA from 1 species
GCUGCCUCUAAAUUAGAGUGGGAUUGAGGUUGAGUUGAAUUAUUUGUAUUUCAACCUGCAAUUUUGGUAAUAAGAUUGUAUUUGUCUUAUACAUUUUAUUAGAGUCCAAGUUGUUAGCAUUUCAUGUUGCUUAGGAACCAAAUAAAUCCUUAUAAAAAGACUAUAAGGUCUUUUUCAUGGUUUAUAUUUGGCUGAAAAUUUUGGAUAAAUUUCACCUCUAGUACCUAAACCUAGAGCAUUGUAAUAGUAUGGUAUAUAAACUUCAAUUUGUAACAUAAA